rnacentral:rRNA from 1 species
GGCUCCAUGAUGAUAUUAAUUUAUAUGGAGUCUGGCCUGCCCAGCGAUUAAAAUUUAGCGGCCGCGGUACUCUGACCGUGCGAAGGUAGCAUAGUCACUUGCCUUAUAAUUGAAGGCUAGUAUGAAUGGUUUGACGAGAACAAUACUGUCUCCUUUAAAAUUUAUAAAAUUUGGUUUUUAGGUGAAGAAACUUAAAUAAUAUUGAAAGACAAGAAGACCCUGUCGAGCUUUAAAAAAUAAUUUUGAUAAAAUUAGUAUUAUAAUCUAAUUUCAAUUUGAAAUUUUAGUUGGGGCGACUAAGGAACACAUAAAACUUCCUUUUAUUUAUUAAAGCCUGUGAGCUCUGAUCCAAAAGUUUUGAUUAAAAGAAUUAGUUACCGCAGGGAUAACAGCAUUAUCUUCUUUGAGAGUUCUUAUCGAAAGGGGGGUUUGUGACCUCGAUGUUGGACUAAGAUAUCCUAAUAGAUGUAGAAGUCUUUGAUGGUUGGUCUGUUCGA